rnacentral:rRNA from 1 species
UGCAGUCGACGAAGUAGCAAUACUUAGUGGCAGACGGGUGAGUAACAUGUGGGUAUCUUCCCUUUGGUGAGGAAUAACACGAGGAAACUUGUGCUAAUACCUCAUAAGUCUUUACGGAGAAAGCUUUAUGCGCCAAUGGAUGAGCCCGCACUUGAUUAGUUUGUUGGUGGGGUAAUGGCCUACCAAGACUUUGAUCAAUAGCUGAUCUGAGAGGAUGAUCAGCCACAUUGGGACUGAGACACGGCCCAAACUCCUACGGGAGGCAGCAGUAGGGAAUAUUGCACAAUGGAGGAAACUCUGAUGCAGCGAUGCCGCGUGAGUGAAGAAGGCCUUUGGGUUGUAAAGCUCUUUCGUCGGGGAAGAAAAUGACGGUACCCGAAUAAGAAGGUCCGGCUAACUUCGUGCCAGCAGCCGCGGUAAUACGAAGGGACCUAGCGUAGUUCGGAAUUACUGGGCUUAAAGAGUUCGUAGGUGGUUAAAAAAGUUGGUUGUGAAAUCCCGAAGCUUAACUUCGGAACUGCAAUCAAAACUUUUUAGCUAGAGUAUGAUAGAGGAAAGCAGAAUUUCUAGUGUAGAGGUGAAAUUCGUAGAUAUUAGAAAGAAUACCAAUUGCGAAGGCAGCUUUCUGGAUCAUUACUGACGCUGAGGAACGAAAGCAUGGGUAGCGAAGAGGAUUAGAUACCCUCGUAGUCCAUGCCGUAAACGAUGUGUGUUAGACGUUGGAAAUUUAUUUUCAGUGUCGCAGCGAAAGCAGUAAACACACCGCCUGGGGAGUACGACCGCAAGGUUAAAACUCAAAUGAAUUUGACGGGGACCCGCACAAGUAGUGGAGCAUGUGGUUU